rnacentral:rRNA from 1 species
UUGAAAGGGAAACGAUUGAAGUCAGUCGUACCUGUGGGUAAUCAGCCUUUUGGGUGUGAUUUUGUGGAGUGUGAGGAGUUAAACGCCUUCAUGCCUGCAUAUUCGUGCACUUUGGGUGUAUUUACCCGUGUGGUAAGUUAACAUCAAUUUCGGUGGUCAUAAAAUGGCUGGAGGAAUGUAGCUUCGAUCUCGUAUUGAAGUGUUAUAGCCUUCGGUAGAUGUGAUAAUCGGGAUUGAGGAUUGCAACGGAUACCCUUCGGGGCUACCUGUCUGAUCUCUGAUCGUUGCUCUGGUGCCGAAAGCUUGCUUACGGUUAUCAAAGUCGAUGGUCAAUAGGUUAGAACGGGUUAAAUUCGGUUAAGGAUGUUGACGUA